ACUACGGGUGGCAGCAGUGGGGGAUAUUGCACAAUGGGGGGAACCCUGAUGCAGCGACGCCGCGUGGGUGAAGAAGCGCCUCGGCGCGUAAAGCCCUGUCAGCAGGGAAGAAAAUGACGGUACCUGAAGAAGACGCCCCGGCUAACUACGUGCCAGCCGCCGCGGUAAUACGUAGGGGGCAAGCGUUAUCCGGAUUUACUGGGUGUCAAGGGGGCGCAGACGGCGAUGCAAGCCGGUAGUGAAAGCCCGGGGCCCAACCCCGGGACUGCUCGUGGAACUGGGUGGCUGGAGUGCAGGAGGGGCAGGCGGAAUUCCUGGUGGAGAGGUGAAAUGCGUAGAUAUCAGGAGGAA
rnacentral:rRNA from 1 species